rnacentral:rRNA from 1 species
UACAGAGGUGGCGAGCGUUGUUCGGAUUUACUGGGCGUAAAGGGCGCGUAGGAGGCCAUGUGUGUCGACCGUGAAAUCUCCGGGCCCAACCCGGAAAGUGCGGUCGAAACUGCGUGGCUCGAGCGGGGGAUGGGAAAGCGGAACUCAGGGUGUAGCGGUGAAAUGCGUUGAUAUCCUGAAGAACACCGGUGGCGAGGGCGGCUUUCUGGAACCCGACUGACUCUGAGGCGCGAAAGUGGGGGGAGCAAAC